CCCUUAGAUGUUCUGGGCUGCACGCGCGCUACACUGAAGCUAUCAACACGUUUUCCCUCCCUGAGAAGGGCGGGUAACCUUUUGAAUCAGCUUCGUGGUAGGGAUCGGGGCUUGCAAUUGUUCCCCGUGAACCAGGAAUUCCUAGUAGACGCGAGGCAUAAGCUCGCAUCGAUUAAGUCCCUGCCCUUUGUACACACCGCCCGUCGCUACUACCGAUUGAACGUUUUAGUGAGGCAUUUGGACCGACGCAUCUCAGUUUAACCGCUGGUUUGUGUUGGAAAGACUUCCAAACUUGAGCGUUUAGAGGAAGUAAAAGUCGUAACA
rnacentral:rRNA from 1 species